CCUUCAGUCAGCAAUAAUCAUGUUAUAAACCUUAUAAAAGCAUAAAAUACAUAUAAACAAGUUAACUAUUUAAUAUUCUUACAUUCCCCUCUUUGAGCAAUAAAACAAUUGCUCAUCUUAUUGAUAAAAUCUUACCAGGACAGAGAAACCUCCACAUGGUAUUUUCAGGGGUGCUAGUCACUCCCUGCGGGACUUUCAUUAAUUUCUUCACCUCGAUUCCCAUGUGGUAAUUCCUAAGGCCCAGUUUAAAGAUGGGUUGAUACUCUACAGUGGCAGAGAGGAGAAUUUCUAAUUGUUUCUGUUCUGCAUUAUGGAUUCAUUUCUGUACUCACUUCCUCAAUGUACAACUAAGGUGACAGUUAUAUAAAAUCAUACACAAUAAAAUCAGGACUAUAAUAACAAAAGGAUAGAAGAAUGAUUUCAUUAUCUGGGAUCCAGUAGGGGACCAACCAGUGAAGCAUCGUACCAAUGAUGGGCUAAAUCAUUCUGAAUUUGUGAACUCACCUUAAGGAGUUCUCCUUUUAGGAUAUGCGUGGCUACCUGUGUAUGUUAUCUUUGGGAAAAAUAUAGUCCCCUGUGUAUGUGGGUGCCCACCAGGUUAAAGUCUUGGCAAAAAGAUCAUAAACUGGUACUGGUAAUGUGUUAAAUUGACAAGCUAAUUUAACAUCCUUUGAUGAUGUAUGAUAUAAUGUAAAAUAGCAAGAGCAUGAAAAAUGUGAAACAUUACCAGUUAACCAUCCAUUGCAUUUACUGGAUUGGGGUUUUAGAAGUAACCAAUCAUUAUCUGUGAGGUUACACAUUCCUCUAAUCUUCUCUAGUUUAGGAAUCAUUAGUGUGUUUUCUAAUGCCAAUCCUUGUUGUUGUAUCCAUAAAUACCUGAUGGCACAAGUACUCCAGUUACUUAGACCUGUAGUGAAUUUCAUAGUUGCAACAGUUAAAUUAUCUAAAUAAUUAUACAUUGAUUUAUCUAAAUCCAAUCCUGUAACCUGUGAUUUAACAACAAUUGGAGCCCAAUUUGCAGUAGCAUGAAAACCAGUCCCUAUAUGCAUGCUGGCUGUGUUUAACUUAUUCUUGAGGGUCUCCAUAUCUAUAACUAUUUAGUAUACUCAUAGUGGUUCCAGCACCUCCUAACAGUGUGUCAUACCAUUCCCUUUUCUGCCUUUUGUUUGCUGUGUUACAUAAUGUUACAACAGGAGUAGUGAUUUUUAAUGACACAUGUACAGCUUGUAAGAAGGCAGUUGUAUUAACACAUGUGGAUGGAAUAGGUGUGUGUGUGUCGUGGUUGACUUUUGGUUCUAUGGUAGAGGAUAAAGGACAGUAAUAAGGUGUAAAAAUAUAAGGUAGUGUAUAGUUCUCAAUUGUAGUGUCGUUCAUAAUGACUAACAUUUGUCCCCUUUUCCAAUUAAUGAUACCAGUUAUAUAAUCAUUAUUAAAAGUAAUAAGGCCUGUCUGUUUACAUUGAUAUGCAACCUUAACUGUGCACAUUUCUGCGUUAUAAGAUCUAACAAUUUUCUGUGAACCUUCAAACAAACAUAAUGCAUCGGUUUCAUUAGCUGUAGACACAUUUCAUAUGGGUAACUGGUACUUAUAAGGGUUACUAUUUGUCCAAUUCAUCCAAAUGCGUUCAUUGAAUGAAUGAUUGCAUAUUGCAUGCUGAUAGAAAGGUGGUGGAGAAAGGUUCUUGAGGGGGCGUGUGUGACGAAUGCUAGAUGAGGAGCUAAGGCCUAAUUGGGCUGGGGGUAUUGAAGAAUUGUUCAUCAUGUCAGAGUCUUUUUCCAGAACUUGCCAUUGACUUGUACUCAUAAUGGCAUUCAAGAAACAAUAUCAGAGGGAGUAUAACAACUCCAGAAAGCAUAGCACACAACAUAAUCUUGGUCUCAGGUACGUAUGAU